ACAGCAAUCGCCGCGGUAAUACGAAGGGGGCUAGCGUUGUUCGGAAUUACUGGGCGUAAAGCGCACGUAGGCGGAUAUUUAAGUCAGGGGUGAAAUCCCAGAGCUCAACUCUGGAACUGCCUUUGAUACUGGGUAUCUUGAGUAUGGAAGAGGUAAGUGGAAUUGCGAGUGUAGAGGUGAAAUUCGUAGAUAUUCGCAGGAACACCAGUGGCGAAGGCGGCUUACUGGUCCAUAACUGACGCUGAGGUGCGAAAGCGUGGGGAGCAAACAGGAUUAGAUACCCCCGUAGUCCCUGUCUCUUAUAC
rnacentral:rRNA from 1 species